GUGCUCUGAUGUUCACCUCCUCUGUGAAUUUUUUUUUCUUUUUGAGAUGGAGUCUUACUCUGUGACCCAGGCUGGAAUGAUCAUGGCUCACUGUAGCCUCAACCUCCUGGGCUCAAGUAAUCCCACCCCAGCCUCCUGCGUAGGGCUACAGGCGGUGCCACUACACCUAGCUAAUUUUAUUUUUGUAGAGACAGGGUCUCACUAUGUUCCCCAGGCUGAUCUCAAACUCCUGGGCUCAAGCAAUCCUCCCACCUCAGCCUCCCGGUGCUGGGAUUACAGGCAUGGGCCACCGUUUCCAGCCUGUGAAUUGAUCUUGAUUUGGGUUCUUUGAGAGCAGCCAGCAGGCUGUGCUGUGUCUGACAUGUAGAAUUCCUGGAUAGCAAGGCUUAGAAGCAGGAGAACUAGCUCUUGUAAGAUCCUGGCUCUGGUCACUCCUGUUCAUUCCAGAGCUGAGGGAUCCAACUGACCCUCUGUCUCCACUACCCUUGACUGCUCACUCCUGGAAAUUCACCAGUCUACAUGUGCUCUGCAGAGGUUAGGACUCCUAGGACAUCAAGUGGUAACUCAUCAUUAUCACCAUCACACAGCAGCUGGAACCAGCAGCCUCACCAGGCCUUUCUCCUUUAAUAAUGACAAACAUGGUGUGCAGUCUGGGCCACUUAAUCCUGUUCUGCAGAUGGGGACUCUGAGACAUAAAGAGGUAAAGAUCAUGCAGGUGACAAAGCUAGCUGAAGAUUAGUAUUAUGAGAUAUGAGAAUAGUAACUGAAGGGUUGAUUUGUAAAUGUGAAAAAUUGGAAAUCAGCCUUGAUUUCCAACAAUAGGGUAUUGAUGUGUAAUACAACCACACAGUAGGGUAUUGUAUAGCGACUAAGAAUGAUACAGCAGUAUUUGUUGACCUGGGAACAUUUUUCACAAUAUGCUUUAAAAAAAGAUAGAUAAGUGCUUAUUAAUAAUAUAGGUACAGGGACUCAAGUCAAAGUGGGGAUAUAUUCUAAACUCUGGCGACCAAUUUCCUAAACCAUGUAGUUUUUGCUAUAGAAAACAUCUAGCUGUGGGUCUACUUGUAAUACUCAGUAUAUUACCUUAUUUCAUAUGCCAUUUAUUUUUUCUUUAUGAAAAUGGUGUCAUUCAUCUUUAUUAAUGUAGUUGAAAUUCAUAAACUUUCUGUGUGAAUCAUUUAAUCAAGAAAAAUGUGUUACGGGGAUAGAUUUUAUAUAAAUGAGAAUGAAAUGAAAUGUUUCAUUAAAAUAUGUAAAAGUUGCCCAGUAUAUCUUAAGGAGAAAUCGUAUGUGUAUAAUAUUAUUGUAUUUUUGUAAGAUAAAACAAAUGUUGUAAGACCUUAAAAAUAUUGUUAGGAGAAAAAAAUACACGUAUGCAUAGAAAAAUGUCUAGAAGGAUAAAUGCUAAAAUGUUCAUCCUGGACCUCUGCAAGAUGGGGCUAUGGGUGAUUUUUUACCCCUUCCUUUAUUGUUCACCUGUAUUUUCUAAUUUUUCAAUAACGUUCAUGUGUUACUUAUUUAGAAAAGACAGGAGAUGAAUGUUUAAAGUGAUGGAUAUGGUAAUUACCCUGACUUGAUCAUGAUACAAUGUAUAUAUGCAUUGAAACAUCACACUGUACCCCAUAAACAUGUAUGGCUAU
rnacentral:lncRNA from 1 species